GUAGGUGGCAAGCGUUAUCCGGAAUUAUUGGGCGUAAAGCGCGCGCAGGCGGUUUCUUAAGUCUGAUGUGAAAGCCCACGGGCUCAACCGUGGAGGGUCAUUGGAAACUGGGGAACUUGAGUGCAGAAAGAGAAAAGCGGAAUUCCACGUGUAGCGGUGAAAUGCGUAGAGAUGUGGAGGAACACCAGUGGCGAAGGCGGCGUUUUUGGUCUGUAACUGACGCUGAGGCGCGAAAGCGUGGGGAGCAAACAGGAUUAGAUACCCUGGUAGUCCACGCCGUAAACGAUGAGUGCUAAGUGUUAGAGGGUUUCCGCCCUUUAGUGCUGCAGCUAACGCAUUAAGCACUCCGCCUGGGGAGUACGGUCGCAAAGACUG
rnacentral:rRNA from 1 species